CUCUUCCCAGUGUGGCUGAUGACACCAUACAAUCCCAACGGGAUGCUGAAGUGCUGACCUAAGGCCACUCCAUUGCCUGUGGAGAUGAGGGCAGGAGUAGCUGGAUGCUGAGGAAUCAAAGAGCUGUCCAGUCUUGGGGAUGGGGAGCGCCUAGUGUGGCGGUAAAGGUUGGGCAGCCUUGUUUCCGCUGGUAGGCGGUAUUUCUUCUCUUUACUUUACUAGGGUCUCACUAUGUAACCCUGGACGUCCUGGAACUUCCUAUGUAGACUGGGCUGGCCUCAAACAGAGAUAUGGCCUGCCUCUCCUCCUGAGUGCUGGAAUAAAGAUUUGGGUCUGUGCACUGUAAGCGUGUCUGGUGCCUGUGGAGGUCAGAACAAGGAUCCCUUGGAACUGAACUUACAGAUGAUUGUGAGCCACUAUAUGGAUAGUGGAAACGAAACUCUGGUCCUCUGGGAGAGCAGCCAGUGCUAUUAACCACUAAGCCAUCCCUUCAGCCCCU
ensembl:lncRNA